rnacentral:rRNA from 1 species
UCUACGGGAGGCAGCAGUGGGGAAUUCUACGGGAGGCAGCAGUGGGGAAUAUUGGGCAAUGGCCGAAAGGCUGACCCAGCAACGCCGCGUGGUGGAUGAAGCCCUUCGGGGUGUAAACACCUUUUCUGGGGGAAGAUAAUGACGUA